rnacentral:lncRNA from 1 species
UAUCAAUUUCUUCAACAGAGGAGAAGGUCCCAGCACUGAACUGAGCUCCCAGAUGAAAGACCCACUACAACCUAAAACAAUGGAGAGAAAGCCUGUUUGCAGAAAGAGAGAAUAAA